rnacentral:rRNA from 1 species
AUGGCUUCUUCCACCGCCGCGCGGCACCCCCCACUUCUUGUUCUGGUGCUGAUCAUCGUCGUUCUUCUGCUGUCCUCCUCCCCUGCCAUCGCGGCGGCGGGGCCCCCGAGCGCAUCGGCGGGGCAGGGCUUCCACGUGGCGACGACGCCAUUGCAUGAUGCAAGCGUGGCCAAGAACGGCGCGGGGAGACGACCGGUCGGCGGGGGAAGGAGGAGGAGAGCAGACCGCGGCGGAGGCACCGGCGCGUGGGCGUUCUCGGCGAUGCUGCCCCGGGGGUUCGUGCCGCCGUCGGGCUCGUCGGCGUGCCACAACGACAUGCCGGCCACCGCCGCCGAUGACCAGUACUACACAUGCGGCGGCUCCGUGAGGCCGUGA